UCGAUUGAGUUUGAUCAUGGCUCAGGACGAACGCUGGCGGCGUGCUUAACACAUGCAAGUCGAACGGUGAUGCCCCUUCGGGGGCGGAUCAGUGGCGAACGGGUGAGUAACACGUGGGCAACCUGCCCCUAGCUCUGGGAUAACCCCGGGAAACCGGGGCUAAUACCGGAUACGACCUCGAUUGGCAUCUUUCGAGGUGGAAAGUUUUUCGGCUAGGGAUGGGCCCGCGGCCUAUCAGCCUGUUGGCGGGGUAACGGCCCACCAAGGCGACGACGGGUAGCCGGCCUGAGAGGGCGACCGGCCACACUGGGACUGAGACACGGCCCAGACUCCUACGGGAGGCAGCAGUGGGGAAUAUUGCGCAAUGGGCGAAAGCCUGACGCAGCGACGCCGCGUGAGGGACGAAGGCCUUCGGGUUGUAAACCUCUUUCAGCAGGGACGAAGCGAGAGUGACGGUACCUGCAGAAGAAGCACCGGCCAACUACGUGCCAGCAGCCGCGGUAAUACGUAGGGUGCAAGCGUUGUCCGGAAUUAUUGGGCGUAAAGAGCUCGUAGGCGGUCUGUCGCGUCGGCUGUGAAAACCCGAGGCUCAACCUCGGGCCUGCAGUCGAUACGGGCAGACUAGAGUUCGGUAGGGGAGACUGGAAUUCCUGGUGUAGCGGUGAAAUGCGCAGAUAUCAGGAGGAACACCGGUGGCGAA
rnacentral:rRNA from 1 species